UGAGAAUAGAGGGAUAAGGAUAGAGAGAAAGAGGUGGGAAUAGAGGGAUAAGGAUAGAGAGACAGAGGUGUGAGAAUAGAGGGAUAAGGAUAGAGAGAAAGAGGUGUGAGAAUAGAGGGAUAAGGAUAGAGAGAAAGAGGUGAGAAUAGAGGGAUAAGGAUAGAGAGAAAGAGGUGUGUGAAUAGAGGGAUAAGGAUAGAGAGAAAGAGGUGUGUGAAUAGAGGGAUAAGGAUAGAGAGAAAGAGGUGUGAAUAGAGGGAUAAGGAUAGAGAGAAAGAGGUGUGAAUAGAGG